AUGGUUCAGCUCAGAGCAAAUACUAGAGGUUUGGGGCACUUGAAAGUAGCGGAAUCUGCUAAUUGGAGUGCAGAGGUGUGGAAUAAUAGUAAGAACUAUGAAAGGCAUGCCGUGAAGCUAAAUCAGCAAACAUGUACUUGUCUUGAAUGGAAGGACACUGGUAAGCCAUGUCAACAUGUCUUGGCCUCUGUGACAUCACAAAAGAUAGUAAAUCGUGAACAAUUUGUGCAUGAGCACUACUCUGUGGACAGAUUCAAGGCUGCUUAUGGGAGAGAGAUUGAGCCAAUGACAGAUAAGUCACAAUGGUCACGUAUGGAGCUACGAUUUGUUGUGGGGGCACCACUUGUGAAAAGAAAUAAAGGAAGACAAAGGAAAUUGAGGAUCAAAGGAUGUCUUGAAGGUGGCCACAAGAAAAAAGGUGCCAAUGAUGCUCCCAAGGAUGAUAGCACCACUCCCACCAAUUCUAAGGGAAAAAAUGAUUAG
rnacentral:rRNA from 1 species